rnacentral:lncRNA from 1 species
CUGCUAAAUGAUAAGAAACACUUUAGUAUAUCUGUCGUCGUGUAAAAUACUGCACAAAAGAAAAUGUAAUGAACAAGUACACAAUAAAACGAAAUGACCCAACAGAUGUACCUGUAAACAGAAAAGGCUUACAGAAACCAUGCGAUGAACAAGUAGAGAACAAUCAAGAACAACCAAAAUAAGACAACGUUCAAACACAAUGUACCAUCUCCACCGAAACAGGUUACUAUUUCACUCACUACCACCCAGAUGUUCCUACAUGACAAUCAUCUCCACAGAAACAGGUUACUAUUUCACGCACCACCACCCACAGAUGUCCAUAUGUUCCUACAUGACAAUCAUCUCCACAGAAACUGAUACUAUUUAGCUUCUCGUGUUUUGAUCAAAAGUUCCUGUGCGCAGAUACCAUUUCACUCAUUAAACAAGCUACUAUUAAUUAAGUUUCGAACACAUUAUUAUCCUUCAGGGAGCAAGGACAAAACCAUCUUAACAGGAACAGAUAUUACUUGAGUCAUUGGCACCAUUGCAACUCCACAUACAAAGUUAGCAGGUAAAAAUAUGUAGGAGAUGACGAAGGCAAAACUAACCGAAUGCUGGACAAGUACACAACAACACUACCAGUCAGGGCUGCUAGCCAGAUGCUCUAGCACAGAGAGCAGCCAGACAUAAAACGGUUAAACAAACCACAGAUUAGAGGCCAUUGGUGGCGCAUCUCCCUGGGGUUUCUGCUUGACCGAGAGCUUGUACUCAUUCGAGCAAAAAGCCCGGCCUCCUGCUGAAACACAAACUGUUAUUUGUGUCCUGGGUUUUACAGGGUCGGAACAUGGCAGACACAUAGCAGUCAAUAUUUCCUGUUCACAAGAGGUGAUCAAAGCAGUCAUACCUAUUGUUCUGACGGAACCAAGCACCACAGUACUGCCCUCUGCUCCAAAUGUUCUAGAUUACCGAAAAGACAACACAGACAGACAUAAUAUGUAUCAGAGACUGGAUAAACAAAGAAACACUAACAGUAUAACAAUUAGACAAAAGAUGAAGAAACAGAGUUAGCACAGUUAGACAGGCAUAUGAGUCAAACAGCACACAUGUUUCUGUGGAGAUGACACACCAUAGCUAUAACUCUCACCCAACAUUAAGUGAAUAAUGCUAACCCCAAAAGUUCAAAUCUAUAUCUAUGCUCCCAAAAAAUCCCAUCUUACAGUAGUUCACAACCCAAAAAUUCUAAUCUUGACCCAAAUGUUACAAACAAAUCUAGUUUUUGUAGCCAACAGCAAGCAAAAGCAUGCGAUUUCCACAACUUCCAGGGUUAUGUUAUUCUUCACAUUAACCAAAUCAACAAUCAUCACUGCAAGGAACAGCUAGUCUUACAAGUACAAAUCCAGGAGCUCCAAUUGCCCCACUUUUCCUCAAUACCACACCCAAAAUAAAAUUCCUAAAUUAAGCUCAGCCUACAAACCAAUAACCAAAACGACCGAUCCCAAGUACACGGACCACCACCCUAAACCCUAAUCCCCCUAAUUAACGGGCAGGCUGGCCCAGUCCGACCGAGAAAUCCAACAGCCCUCACCACGGGGCGCUAGAAGCCUAUCCCACACCAAUUUACCAAUCCAGAACCCUAAUCAGAAACCCCCCACCAGAGAAUCGAACAAGCCCCCAUGAAAUCGACCAUCCAAGGACCCCGAUCCAUGUGCAGGCACCCGUUCCCCACUGGAUUCGACACGCCCAAACCCUAACAAACGAGCACAUCGAAAGAAAUCGCGGGAGAUUGGAAGGAUGAUCUCACC